UUAAUUCAACAAAUAAAACAAAACAUAACAGGAAGGAAAAUUCCACAUCAAGAAGUCUUUCCAUACCCGUUUCGUCUAAAUAUCUCCAUUAGCGUUGUCAGUCUCUCCAAAUCUAGGGUUUGUUGUUGUUUACAGUUCCGGCUCCAUCUCUCUGAUCAUCGACGUUUGAUGGAGGGAAUGGAAGAGACCAAAAAGUCUGAGGCACACUUGACAUCAGCUGCUGCUUUUGUGGAAGGCGGAAUCCAGGAUGCCUGUGAUGAUGCUUGCAGCAUAUGCCUUGAAGCCUUCUGUGACAGUGAUCCUUCAACUGUAACCAGUUGCAAGCAUGAGUUCCAUCUUCAAUGCAUUCUUGAAUGGUGUCAGAGAAGCUCCCAAUGCCCCAUGUGCUGGCAGCCUAUCAGCCUGAAGGAUGCUACAAGUCAAGAAUUGCUUGAGGCCGUGGAACAUGAGAGGAGUUUUAGGUUUAAUCCAUCUAGAAAUGCCACCAUAUUUCAUCAUCCAACUCUGGGUGAUUUUGAAUUACAGCAUUUGCCAGUGGGUGCAAACGAUACUGAACUUGAAGAGCGUAUAAUCCAGCACUUAGCUGCUGCUGCUGCAAUGGGACGGCGUCACAUUGCUAGAAGGGAAGGUCAGAGGAAUAGAUCAUCAGCUCAAGGUCGUCCACAGUUUUUAGUAUUCUCGAGUCAUCCUAAUGCACCAGCUGGACCAAUUUCUUCCUCUCCAACUCAGAGAGAAGAGGGUGAAUCUGUAUCUACAAUCUCAGUACCCACUCCAUUAUCCCCUCCCAUGAAUGUCCGGGAAGAAUCUUUACGGUCAAUUACACCACAAUCAUCUGAUGUCCAAGCUGAUCCAGCAUUUGCUUCAGCUUCUGGAUCUAGUGUUCUUGCUUCCAAUCAACAUGAAAAUUCAUUGCACAAUAGGUACCAUUAUUAUUUCAGGCUGUUCUCUCUCUUUACGGAUGGUUUACUUUCAAUAGAUGAACGUAUGUUGAGUUUUGUAGGUGAAAUUUUGUUUGUGAAAACAUCUAAUUUUAGUACAUUUAAUUUUAAUUGCAAUUGUAUUAUAAUAUGAUCCUGUAGGAGGUCUCCUAAUCAGUCUUCCCCAAAUAGCCAAGAGAGAGCGGGACCAUCAGAAUUUCAAUCUUUUUCAGAUUCUAUAAAAUCUAAAUUAAAUGCUGUUUCAAUGAGGUAUCCAAUAAUAUGGAAAACAUUAUGUAAAUUUGAAGGUUUGUGAGGUUAAUGAUUUCUGGCUCUUUCUUUUAGCAUUAUGAAAGUGAUUUAUACUCCUUUUAGAUACAAAGAAUCAAUUUCAAAGAGUACAAGGGGAUGGAAAGAGAGAUUUUUUUCUCGUAGCAGUACUAUGGCAGAUCUUGGUUCUGAGGUUAGAAGAGAGGUUAAUGCUGGAAUCGCAACAGUAUCACGAAUGAUGGAACGUCUAGAAACAAGAGAAAACAAUAGAACCAGUACUUCUGCAUCAAACAAUGAGGAGGAUAGCUCAGUCUCAGUAACAGAAUCAAACAACCAACAAAUAUCAGAAACUGGUGGUGGCAAUCCUACAAGUAAUACAAAUACCAAUAUGCAAGCUCCAUGCGCUGCAAGUUCUGGUUCAGAUUAAGCAUAAUUUCAAUAAUUGCAUCAACCUCAACUGUUAAUUGAGAUAAAAAUGCAGGAUGCUGUUGAUGAGAUAUUAUCCAACUGCAGUCUAAUGGAUAGUUUUGUAAACAGGGUGGUGAUUAAAAUCAGAUUCAUAAUAAAGAUGCUGGAGCAAAAGGUCUUUUAUUUGGACUCGAAUACUGAUAGAUGAUUGUAAAUCAGUUCAUAGUUAAAUUCACUAAACCCUCACGCUAUGUUUCCUGAGUAUUUAAUAUUAUAAUAGCACGACUGUGGAUUUUUUUUCUCUAAAUUCCCCUUUAUUUUCGAGGCCUGGACAUUUAAUUUUCC
rnacentral:misc_RNA from 1 species